rnacentral:rRNA from 1 species
GCUCCGGCCGCCAUGGCGGCCGCGGGAAUUCGAUUCAGGAGACUUGUACACGGUCCAGCGCGGAUAACACUUCUCUAAAUUACAACUCGGACGGUGAAACCGCCA